rnacentral:rRNA from 1 species
AUUGAACGCUGGCGGAAUGCUUUACACAUGCAAGUCGAGCGGCAGCACGGGGGCAACCCUGGUGGCGAGCGGCGAACGGGUGAGUAACACAUCGGAACAUGCCCAGUCGUGGGAGAUAACACUUCGAAAGAAGUGCUAAUACCGCAUACGUCCUGAGGGAGAAAGCGGGGGAUCGCAAGACCUCGCGCGAUUGGAGUGGCCGAUGUCAGAUUAGCUAGUUGGUGGGGUAAAGGCCUACCAAGGCAACGAUCUGUAGCUGGUCUGAGAGGAUGAUCAGCCACCUUGGAAUGAGGAACCGGCCCAGAUCCCUACGGGAGGCAGAGUGGGGAAAUUUUGGAAAAGGGGGGCAACCCUGUUCAAGCCAUUCCGCGGGAGUGAAGAAGGCCUCCGGUUUGUAAAGCGUUUUCGGCAGGAACGAAAGGGUGGGCUCUACAUAGCUUGCUAAUGACGGUACCUGAAGAAGAAGCACCGGCUAACUACGUG